GUCCUUUUGAAUUUAAUUUAAGGUCUAACCUGCCCACUGAUUUUUAAAUGGCCGCAGUAAUUUGACUGUGCAAAGGUAGCAUAAUAAUUAGUUUUUUAAUUGAAAGCUUGUAUGAAGGGUUGGACGAAUUAAAAUCUGUCUCUAUUUAAUUUAAUUUAGAAUUUAACUUUUAAGUCAAAAGGCUUAAAUUUAAUUAAAAGACGAGAAGACCCUAUAGAUCUUUAUAUUUUUAAAAAUAAUUUUAAUUAGUAAUUAUUAUUUUUUUAUUUUUAAAAAUAUUUUAUUGGGGUAAUAUAAAGAUUAAAAUAAUUCUUUUUUAUUUAAACAUUUAUUUAUGAUAUUAAUGAUCCAAUUUUAUUGAUUAUAAGAUUAAGUUACCUUAGGGAUAACAGCGUAAUUUUUUUUGAGAGUUCUUAUCGAUAAAAAAGUUUGCGACCUCGAUGUUGGAUUAAAGAUUAUUUUAGGUGUAGACGCUUAAAAAUUUUGGUCUGUUCGACCAUUAAAUCUUUACAUGAUCUGAGUUCAGACCGGCGUAAGCCAGGUCGGUUUCUAUCUUUAAUAAAAUAAAAUAUUUUAGUACGAAAGGACCAAUUAUUUAAUAUAUUUAUAUUUUAUUUUUGAAUAUUAUUAA
rnacentral:rRNA from 1 species